GCUGUGGGGGGGCGUGGAGGGAGGCAAAAGGCGGCCUUGGAUGGGGGCAGCCAGGCCUGUGGCCCAGGCAUCACGGAACAGAAAGCUGCUUCGUGCAGCGGGCCCUGUGUUCUAAUCCUCGGGGCCCUGCCUGCCUCAGCAGGUCAGUUCUGAGGACGGAUUUAUUUCUGUUCUAGAGCACCUCGGUAUUUGCUGGGACACCUUGGAAGGCACAGGAUGGGUGACAGACACUGGUUGGGAUUCCUGACCUCACAGAAGAUCUUCAAUCAUAAGCUGCAUGCUUUGUCUACACCAUCUUCCACCCAGGCGCCUGGCCGGCAGGGGCUCUGUUUUCUAAGUGCGAGGAGUACAAAUACUGCAUCAUCAUCUGCAGUGGGAAGAGGCCCCGCAUGAACACCAAAUGGCCCCGCAGCACCCACGUCCUCUGGCUUCACCAGAGUGCCGCUCUCCGCCCUGGGCCUGGCUGCGCCCUCCACCCUCUCCAUGUGGAUGCGUGCACAUCCCCACUCACUGAAGCGGAUAUUUUGUGCAGUCUCUACAGGUCAGCCCCGAGACUCUCCCUCUUGAUUUCCUGUAUAUACGACAAGCUUCCCUCUACGGGAUGGUUUCACCCUGAACCUCAUGACAGCCCCGUGAGCCCAGAAGGGAAGGUGCUGUUCACAGAUGGGGAAACCGAGGCCCCAGGAGGCAAGGCAGCAUGGCUCAAGUCACUCAGGUCUUCUGACUCCCACACCAGACUCUAAGCAGCACAAUGCUCAUUUCUCUUCUUACCUAAAUUCUAAAUAGGGGCCUACCCUCAGAAGCUGCUUCCAACUUUCCCGGCUGUGCUAGAACUCCAGCGUGGAGGUGAGAGCCAGACCCUGUCUGCCCCCUGGAUUUGUUCCCUUGGACAGCAAGCUCAGAGCUGGGGUCGGGUCUGGUCCAGAGGUCACCUCGUUGCCUGGCCCGGACCUGGGGCUUGUGGGAACAGAGGGCCUGGGAUAUCAAAUGAGGGACUGGGGAACUACAUUUAAUUUCACUGGGGAACUACAUUUAAUUUCACUGUGGUCUGUCACAAACUGCCAUCACACUGGAGCCUGGGAGGUUCCCAGUUGGAAAAAGAAAAAUGAUUCUCCCCGGUUGGCUGCAGAAACAGCCCCAGCAAGGAGCUGGCAAGUGUGUAAGUAAACACGGCUCCGGCCGGCACAGUCGGGCUCUGUUAGGAGCCGGCCCCCGGGCUGGAAGAGGCACCAGAGGGUCUAGGAAGCAGCCCAACCCUGGGGGAGAAGAGUGGGGAGAUGGCCAGUCUGUCCAGGCCUGAGGUCAGUCCCUGGAGACUGUCCCUCCCCACAGAGCGAGGGGCGGGGAGGCUCCCUCGGUCCAGCAGCCCCUGCUGGAGCACAGAUGGAGGUGUCUGUCCCUCCAGGAGGUGUGCGCCUCAGGUGCCGUCCCCUGUGCUGGGCACAGAGUGGCUGUUUGGGACGCCGGCAGGACUGCCUUGGAUGAUCCAGCGCUGGGAGUGGAGCAGGCGGGGGGGUGGGGGGUAGGAUCUCCUAGGCUUGUUUGCUAAGGGGUGGCCUCAGGACAGCCCCUCAGCAAGAAGCGGCCGUGAGAUGGGCCGGAAUCCUGCAGCUCUCCUUCCCAGGCCCCACGGCUCGGGAGCUGGUUCGACAAGGCCCAGCCACCUGUGGAUCUCCCUGAAGUCCCUUAAAUGGAUAUUAGUCUGUGGAAGCCAGAGCUAAACCGCUCCCUGGGAACCUUGCUGCGGGAAGCGGGUGGCCAGCAGGCAGAGAUGGGUUGAUUGUGCGCAGCCCGGCAGCCCGAGGGUCCAGACAGGCUGCUCUGGGAAAGGCCCCAGGCAGCGUCAGCUGCAGAGGGGGUGGCAGGGUCUCCUUCCGUCCUGGACAGGACCCCAGGAACCUGACUCCAGGAGGCUGCAGAUACUGCCGGGACAAGACUGGGGUCAGAAGCCAGGUAAGACCAGCCGGUCCUCAAAGGCCCGGGUGGGGUCGUCGGCAGUGACCUUGGCAAGAUCUAGGCUGGCCCUAACAUUAUAGCCGCUGACCACAUCUAGCUUUUAAGUAUCUGGAAUAAGACUGGUCUGAAUUGAGAUGUCAAAAACACACUGCAUUUCAAAUGCUUAUGUUUUACAUUCGUGGUAUGAAAAUACAGUUGCUAAUUUUUAUAUUGAUCACAUGUAAUAUUUUGGCUACCAUGGGUUUAAUAUAUUAUUAAUUUCACUCCAUCUCCUGCUUUUUUAUGUGGCUACUAGGAAAUGUUAAAUUACAUAUGUGUCUUGCAUUAUCUUUCUCUUGGAUGGCAUAGCUCAGAUCUCCUUGGGCCUGUUUCCUCCUCUGAAAAACAAACCUAAUGAACCCCUUCCCCCACCUGCCCUCAUUCCGUCCCAGUGCUGUGAAAGCCAGGGAGAUACUGUGGGGCUGCCCUGAAACUUCCAGCUUUGUUAGGAAACCCCGGUCCCGGAUCGAAGCCCGGAAAGCAGAGGUCAGCAUCUGGAUGCUCCAUCUGAGAUGGCACUCCCCCACGUGGCAGAAUUCUAUAGCCAGAGAGCCCACAUUUCCCAGGCCUGCGUGUGCCACGGAUGUUAGACCUGAUGUCCCUAUUUACCCUCCCAACAGCCCCGAGAGGUCGUCAAGGGCUGCUAAGGCUGCUCCGACACGGAUGUCCUCCCAGGGAGCGAGAACCCCUCCGGGCUGGGCAGCCACACGGCAGUGGGCACCGUGUCCACACACGUGCCCUCCCCCUACUCUGGCCCCGGCCCUGCUGCCUCUCCCGCAUUGCCCUCCCAUGUCUGGUCCUGACCCCACCUCAUGCCCGGACUUUGGGCUUUUUAGCCAAAGCAGUGUCUAGAGCUGCCCCUUUUCCACGUGAGUUUGGAGCAAGGGAUGGAAAAGAGGGAAGGAGACACCCUCCCCUCCCCAACUGUGCUGCCUGUGCCAGACCCUGGGCCUCACCUCCACCUUGUUGGUCACCAGGUCCUGUCCACCUCCCCUCACUGCACGGCCACCAGCCGCUCACCAUCAUCACACAGCUGGAUUUCUCAAUAGCCUCCUAACUGGUCCCCUGGAGUAGUCAUGACCCCUCUGGUCCCUUCCUCACCCUCCGAGUGAGCUUUGUAAAUGCGAACUUGACCAUUCCACACACAUAACCUAAGGUUUGAAUCCUGGCUCUAUCACUUCCCAGCUGUGUGACCUUGGGUAAGUUACUCAACUUCUCUGUCUCUGACUCUUCAUCUAUCAAGAGGUGAUAAUACACCUACACCUCCUAGGACGGUGCUGUGCUAUGAAGCUUAACUGAUGAACACAGUCAAAGCACUUGGAGCCAUGCCUGGCUAAGUGAGAGCGAUGGUGCUAUAGGUUAAAGGUCAACCCCUUCAUGUGAUGGCACCCUGUGGCAGCUUCAGACUCGUUUCUGGAUGUUCUUCUGAACCACUAACCAGACUGGAUCAGAGGACAUUUCUUGAACACACUGUGGUCUCUGCUUCUGUGUGCACAGUUCCCCCUGCCUGGGGCUCCCGAUGGCUGGCUAGCUGCCCCAGUCCCUGACAGCCUCUGCAGAUUUGGGUUAGAUGCCCCUUUUCUGUGCUCCCAGUGCUCCCCGUGCAUACAGAUCACUCUCUGAUCGCUCUCUUGUAGUCCUGUCUCCUGGUGGAGGGGGCCCGGUCCUGUUUAGUGCCAUCCCCACAGUGCCCACAGAUGACGAAAUGCCAAGUAAGUGGGUGAAGACAGCAGGAGGAGGAACGAGGCCGUUUUAGAUGGUGGCUCCCUGUGCUUCCGUGAGACUCUGACCUCUCCCACUAGGUCACAGAGCUCUCCUGUGCAAGGCCAGGGUCCGGACCCACAUACCAGCUGUCCCUGGUCUCGGUCUCAGCCCCUGGGGGUCAUCCGGGCAGCCCUGAGCCCCCCCCCCCCCCCCCCCCCCCCCAGCCUGGAGACCUGUAGUCGCCACUUUCCCAAAAGGAGCUCUCCGCCAGGGCUCCUCCCUCCAGACUCUCUGGCCCCGACUGGCAGCCAGCCCGUGGAGUUUCCGUCACACUACCUCUGAUGUUCUCCAAAGUUAGGGACUGAAAGACCCGACCUGGGUCCUCCGCAACCAGGACAGGCUCACCCGGCUUUUUCUGCCUGGCCUUCCUGGUUGGGGGUCUGAGGCCUGGGAGGGGAGGAGCAGCCCACACCAUGCUUCCCAGAGUGAGCACAACCCCCGCGUCCCGCCUGCAGGAGGCAGGGGGCUGACGCCACAGGGAGGUCUGUGCUGUGCUGCGGGGAGCUCGCCCUGAGGCACAAGGGCUCAUGCACGUGUGCCAGGCCUUACGUGUCUGUCAGUCUGCCCAUGGAGUCGUUUGGUGGUCAGAGCUCAGGACUCAUGAGUGAGGCUCUGAAGCCACAAGCCCACACAGGAAUGGCUACCUCUGCCUGGGAAAGGCCCAGACACUCCCACCUGACCACUGAUGUAGCGAACGCAGAAGGCACCGGGGAUGGAGUGGAAGAUGGCGGCCAAUCCCAGCUGCCUCCCAGCCCAGGCGGACAAAGCCAAGGGGCCCUGGGGGUGGGGGGAGCUCCCCCCACCCCACCCCUGAGAAGCACAAGGCACAGAGAACCACACACCUGAAAAAUGUGGUACUUCAUGUCGCUGAUCUCAAUGGUUUUGCUGCCGUUGCCAUCCUGUUCUGAUUUAUUGGUCAUCAGCGUCUUGAACCUGGAGCGAAAGGGGAGAAACAAGGCGGGUCUUGAGCAUGACUUUUACUCCAUCAUUCUGCAGCAAUGGCGCCAUCCAUCACCUGGCUGGUCACUGGGAGACGGGACAUUUUUAAAAUUACUGCAGCGCUCCCAAAAUGAUUCUCGGCAAAUGGCGUCUUACAUCACCCUGGACUGACAGCCGGGCUGGGCCCCAGUGCGUCCCCACUGCCCCCCAGGGGUGACUGUGACGCCUGUGGCGGGAAAAGUGACUCUUCAUUCCCAAACAUUUAUAUUUUCUAGCGAAAGCAGGAACUCGAACAGGAAUACAACCUCAGGGCUCCUCCUGGAGAGCUCUCGUCCCAUCCCCUCUGUCCCUCUGUCCACACCGUCUUGUGCCCCCUGUGGGGCAGCGGGACUCCAUGGUCGCGUGACCCAUCUCCACAGGACAGGCUCCUCUGUCACCUGGUGUCUAACGAAGCCACUCCCACCCCUCUUCCCGAUGCAGCCUACCUGUUAGAAGCCGUCACCAGCAGGACUUUAUGCGCAUAAAACAGCUUUCCUUCCACUAGGAAGGUCACAUCUGA